GAUGAACGCUGGCGGCGUGCUUAACACAUGCAAGUCGAACGUGAGGGUGCAGCGAUGUGCCUGAAAGUGGCGAACGGGUGAGUAACACGUAGAUGACCUGCCCUGGAGUGGGGGAUAACCAUUGGAAACGGUGGCUAACACCGCAUACAUCCGGAGAACUGGGAAGUUUUCUGGGGAAAGCUCUGGUGCUUCAGGAGGGGUCUGCGUCCGAUUAGCUAGUUGGUGGGGUAAAGGCUCACCAAGGCGACGAUCGGUAGCUGGUCUGAGAGGACGAUCAGCCACACGGGAACUGAGACACGGUCCCGACUCCUACGGGGGGCAGCAGUGAGGAAUAUUGGGCAAUGGGCGGAAGCCUGACCCAGCAACGCCGCGUGGAGGAAGACGGCCUUC
rnacentral:rRNA from 1 species